rnacentral:rRNA from 1 species
GUACACUCCUACGGGAGGCAGCAGUGGGGAAUAUUGCACAAUGGGCGCAAGCCUGAUGCAGCCAUGCCGCGUGUAUGAAGAAGGCCUUCGGGUUGUAAAGUACUUUCAGCGGGGAGGAAGGCGAUAAGGUUAAUAACCUUGUUGAUUGACGUUACCCGCAGAAGAAGCACCGGCUAACUCCGUGCCAGCAGCCGCGGUAAUACGGAGGGUGCAAGCGUUAAUCGGAAUUACUGGGCGUAAAGCGCACGCAGGCGGUCUGUCAAGUCGGAUGUGAAAUCCCCGGGCUCAACCUGGGAACUGCAUUCGAAACUGGCAGGCUAGAGUCUUGUAGAGGGGGGUAGAAUUCCAGGUGUAGCGGUGAAAUGCGUAGAGAUCUGGAGGAAUACCGGUGGCGAAGGCGGCCCCCUGGACAAAGACUGACGCUCAGGUGCGAAAGCGUGGGGAGCAAACAGGAUUAGAAACCCCGGUAGUCCC